rnacentral:piRNA from 1 species
UCAGAUUGUAUAUAGAUCCAUCGGUUGU